rnacentral:rRNA from 1 species
UACGAAGGUGCAAGCGUUACUCGGAAUUACUGGGCGUAAAGCGCGUGUAGGUGGUUCUGUAAGUAGGGCGUGAAAGCUCCCGGCUCAACUGGGAGAGGCCGUUCUAAACUGCAGAGCUAGAGGAUGGUAGAGGGAGGUGGAAUUCCAGGUGUAGCGGUGGAAUGCGCAGAUAUCUGGAGGAACACCAGUGGCGAAGGCGGCCUCCUGGACCAUUCCUGACACUCAGACGCGAAAGCUAGGGUAGCAAACGGGAUUAGAUACCCCCGUAGU